GACGAACGCUGGCGGCGUGCUUAACACAUGCAAGUCGAACGGAAAGGCCCUGCUUUUGUGGGGUGCUCGAGUGGCGAACGGGUGAGUAACACGUGAGUAACCUGCCCUUGACUUUGGGAUAACUUCAGGAAACUGGGGCUAAUACCGGAUAGGAGCUCCUGCUGCAUGGUGGGGGUUGGAAAGUUUCGGCGGUUGGGGAUGGACUCGCGGCUUAUCAGCUUGUUGGUGGGGUAGUGGCUUACCAAGGCUUUGACGGGUAGCCGGCCUGCGAGGGUGACCGGCCACAUUGGGACUGAGAUACGGCCCAGACUCGAACGGUACGCAGCAGUGGAGAAUAUGGCACAAGGGGCGGAAGGCAGAUGUAGCAACGCCGCGUGCGGUAAGACGUCCUUCGGGUUGUAAACCACUGUCGCCUGUGACGAGGCGUUAGUGACGGUAACGGGUAAAGAAGCACCGGCUAACUACGUG
rnacentral:rRNA from 1 species